CGCCUGUUUAACAAAAACAUGUCUAUAUGAUUGUUAUAUAAAGUCUAGCCUGCCCACUGAUUGAAAUUUAAAGGGCCGCGGUAUACUGACCGUGCGAAGGUAGCAUAAUCAUUAGUCUUUUAAUUGAAGGCUCGUAUGAAUGGUUGGACAAAAAGUAAGCUGUCUCAGUUAUAAUAAUUGAAUUUAACUUUUAAGUGAAAAGGCUUAAAUGGAUUAGGGGGACGAUAAGACCCUAUAAAGCUUGACAAUAAGUUAAUUAUAUUAUAAAUUGUUAGUAUAACUUGAUUUUAAUUGACGUUUGUUACGUUGGGGCGACGAGAAUAUAAUGAGUAACUGUUCUUAAACAUUUAAUGACAAAUAUAAUUGGUAUUUGAUUGAUCCUUUAUUAAAGAUUAAAAGAUUAAGUUACUUUAGGGAUAACAGCGUAAUCUUCUUUGAGAGUUCAUAUCGACAAGAAGGUUUGCGACCUCGAUGUUGAAUUAAGGUAUCCUUAUGAUGCAGCAGUUAUAAAGGAAGGUCUGUUCGACCUUUAAAUCCUUACAUGAUCUGAGUUCAGACCGG
rnacentral:rRNA from 1 species